rnacentral:rRNA from 1 species
UACAGGGGGUGCAAACGUUGCUCGGAAUCAUUGGGCGUAAAGCGCACGUAGGCGGUCUGUUAUGUCGGAUGUGAAAGCCCUUGGCUCAACUGAGGAAGUGCAUCCGAAACUGGCAGGCUAGAGUACUAAAGAGGGUCGCGGAAUUCCCGGUGUAGAGGUGAAAUUCGUAGAUAUGGGGAGGAACACCGGUGGCGAAGGCGGCCACCUGGACGGAUACUGACGCUGAGACGCGAAAGCGUGGGUAGCAAACGGG